UACUUUUCAAAAUUGCAGUUGAACUUGAGCCCUACGAUCGAGCUCCUUCACCUUUCUUCCUUGCUUCUUUCAGAAGCAGAGGGUGAGAGCUUAUGGAUCAUCGAACGAAGCCAUGGAAUCAUUUGGCGUCUUCAAUUAGUUUCUGUUUCUAGGAACUAUGGUUUGAUGUUGGUGCAAAGGGAAGAGAUCUUGUUGUUCUUUUACCUUUGACGUUAUGAAGACUCUGUUUCGCAUUUCGGUUGGAUUCUUUUUGGCGUUGCUAAUUUUUUACUGCAGCUUCGUUGAUUCCAAGGUGGAAGAAACUGCGAACUCCAGUCUAGAUUCAAAAACAGUGAAUAAAGUAAACGAUGCAAGCAAGGACACUGGUUCUAAUAAGGUUCUCAAUUCUAUUUCUGCUGGUAAGGAAAAGAAGGAUGAACACCAAGUAAGCGUCUCAAACGGGGGUGUUAAGAGCAGCGGGGAUAAAAUUAAGAAGGAUCCUGAAAGUGAAACAACAUCGGAAGAAGGUGCAAAUAAAGUAAAGAGUGACGGUGGUUUAGUUGAGAAAGGAAAGAAUAAGGGAGAGAAAGAGAAGGGGAAGCCAGUAGAUAAUUCAGCUUCGAAAGAAGCGUCUAAGAAUAGUGAGAAGGACGGCAAUUUGGUAACUUCAGCAUUGAAAACAAAGGAUGGCUCUUCGGGUGAGGAUUGUGGUUCAUCAAAUAAGUGCACUGAUGAGGGAAAUAAGCUUGUUGCUUGCUUACGAGUUCCAGGAAAUGAAUCUCCUCAACUUUCGUUGCUAAUCCAGAACAAGGGAACAGGUCCUCUUACUGUGAAAAUUUCUGCGCCCGAUUUUGUUCAUCUGGAGCAGAGUGAAGUUCAACUUCAAGAGAAAGAAGAUAAAAAGGUAAAAGUUUCAGUCAGCAAUGGUGGAGAUGGAAAGGCGAUCAUUCUGACUGCAGGUAGCGGCCGUUGUAGUCUUGAUUUUAGGGAUCUUGUUGAACUCAAUAUUGCCAAAGAUUCUGAUAAUCUUCCCAAGUCCUCACGGUUCAGCUACCUGGCAAAGCCACCUAUUAUUGCAUUUUCAGCUUUUGCUAUAAUUCUGACAUUUGCAGCUGCUUCAGUGUUCAUUAGCAUUCGUCGUAAAAGUUUUGCAAGUAGCAACUCUAAAUACCAAAGGCUGGACAUGGAGCUCCCUAUUUCCAUUGGAGGUAAAUCCGUUGCUGACAAUAACGACGGAUGGGAAAACAGUUGGGAUGACAAUUGGGAUGAUGACACACCACACAAACCUUCCCUGCCUGUUACUCCAAGUCGUUCGUCGAUGGGCCUCGCCUCACGACGGUUGAAUAAGGAGAGCUGGAAAGAUUAGCCACCAGUGUCAGCUUCACACAUUCAUACACAAAAGAAAGAAACCGCUCGAAUGCAGAAUACCGAUUAUCUGGGGUUUUUCGGUCGGGAUUUCAUCAUUCAAGCGAUGAUUGUAAUUACAUAUAAGAUGGCCUGAUGUUGGUUAUAAAUCAUGAAAAGUGACAGUCAAUGUGGAAGAAAAAACGGCCCAAUUAGACAGCUCCACGUGUAAUUACAAGUGGCGUCGGUGAUGAAACGACGGCUAAGUCACUGCUACAGUCAAACUUACCCAUAAACGAGGGCAUGAAGGAGAGGAAGACAACCAAACCACUCAGUGUUACUUUAUUUAUUUAUUUUAAAUAAAUUGAUUACAAAUAUUCUUUUUUAUG